rnacentral:lncRNA from 1 species
GAACACAUGGUACGGGCCGGUUAUGUUUUUGUGCCUACACAGGGUGCGGGCCGGUCACCUAGUUUCUUUAUAUAUAUAGAUUUUGUAGAGAAGGUAAUUAAAAGGGUAAGAAAAACAAAAUUAUCUUUUCAACUAUUAAAUCUUGCUUUACCUUCAAUGGUCUUUUUUCUUCCACACUUUACCUUGAAUGGUUAAGUAGUACAGUAUUAUGUAAGUUCAAAUAUAAUGUCAGAAUCAUGUAACCUAUC